rnacentral:misc_RNA from 1 species
AACUGUUUUCUAUAUGUGACCCAUACCUUGUGAGUAUAUUUGAAUAUUCAUUUUCAUGACUUGUUUUGAAUAUUGUUUUCAUGACUUAUUAUUUAAUGAUUUAAUUGUUUUAUGGUUUAAUAUUUUUUGUGCACCACUGCAUGCAUUUAUACUCAGCGUUAGUUAUUUUCCUAACUAACGUAGAUAAAAGAAAGGAAAAGAUUACAGAAGAGUAGGAGCAAUACCUGUUGUCACCAAGAUCAGGAGCCAACUUGAUGUAGGUGACUUAGUUCCUUGAUUUUGUGUAUAUAUGAUGUUAUCCAUUUGCAACAGGAUAUUUUGUUUUAAUAUCUGAGCAUAACAAGAUAAAAUUUUAUUGUCUGUAUAUAAAUAUAACUGUAUGAAAUAAUUUAUUAGUUAAUUGAUUAAAGAAAAU